AUAAUAAACUAGAGUUUUCUCUAAAGCCUUGCAUUGAUUCGAUUAUGUCAUCCAUACGAGAGCCUUGCAUCUAUCUUGAUUCAAUUCAUCGAUUCAAGAAGUCAGGUCUCUAGAGAUUUAACCUAAACCCCUAGAUUUGAGCUGAAUUACCGUUGAUAGGCUUCGCCAACUUGUGUGAGUUUCCAUUAUGAAAAUUUGAGGCUUUGUUAUACAUGUUUAAAGGUUCGUCGAGGGGUGUAUCAUAUAACAUGAUGUUGCUCAAAUAGCAGUUGAAUUAUUAUGACUAGUUUGUUUUACAAAGUUGAUAGUCAAAAUAAACAAUUGAUGUUUCUACAGGUUUAUGAAGACCAAGUAAGGAGAAUGAUCUGCAUCGUCGUGUUUAGUUGCUGUAACUCAUAUGUAUUAAAUGAGCUAUGUCAUCAUUUUAUUAUAUGCCGAUACUAAUAUUUCGAUAAUAGUUAAGUGUGAUUAAUAGUUGUAAUUUGUAAAG
rnacentral:lncRNA from 1 species